rnacentral:lncRNA from 1 species
CCCAAACAUUCCAGAUUGUUCUGACAUGAGGUCACCAUCAUGGUUAGUCAGCAGGGUGAGAUGCUGGUGUCGUGAGGGUGGACUAAGGUUUCAUAAUUCAUUCAGAAAGACAUUUGGAUGACCAGGCUAUACCACACCGGGUCUCUCCUCCCAAGCAAGAAUAAUGAAGUUUCUUGUAUUUUCUUAUCUAUCUGGUGCUCAUUCUUGUAUUUGUCCACUUAAAAAUAUUUAUUUGCUCUCCCAGCAUGUGCCAGACCCUAUGCUGUAUAUGCAAUAAAAUGAGACUAAGACCCCUACCAUUAAAUAGCUUACAAUAUUUCAGAGAAGACAGUCAUAGAAGCAGUUAUGAAAAAAUAAAUCAAUUAAGGAAUGCAAUGAGAACACAGUAAAUCAAACAGAAUGCUAUAAGAAAAGGGCACAUGUAUUACUUUCCUGUAGGUACUAGGGUUGGCUUCUCAGAAGAGCUAAAGUCUGGCAUUUGACAGGAAGAGAAGUUGGGCAAAGCCAGUCUUGACAGAGGAAUGGCAUGUUUAAAAGCACUGAAGUAUUCAGGUUACCAUGCAAAGGUAAAAUGGAUGGAACAUCAGACACCUCAUUAUAGAGACAAGCUAGCUCCAAUUCCAAAGUUGGUUGACAGAACAAGUCAUGGUGAGUAUUGUAAUUUUAGUGCUACUGUAUAUCUGCAAGCUGUCUGUGGGUAAAAUGCUUACUAAGCACUGCAUUGGGGCUGUCAGAAUGCUCAUGGGUUGGUAAUUAAAUAAAGACAGUGCUAUGGUUUUGUGGAGCUAAGCCAGUAUUUGUGCACUCUAGAAUAAUCUCUUCUAGGAAGCUUUUACUUUGGAAUUUAAGUUUUGGAGGAAGUACAUUUUACUUUCAUUGAGUAAACUUUCACUAAAAGCACACUUUCUAGGGCCUUUACUGAAAACAUUCAUUUCUGUUUUUCUGUGAUAAGUCAAUGCUCAAUUCACCUAGCAAAGAAGUCAAUUGUCAGCAGUGCUGGCCUUUACAGUUAGUUUUUCCCUCUCUCAAGUUGUAUCGUCAAUUACUAUUUUUAAAACACUCAACAAAAGAUUUGAAAGUAAAUAGAAAGACCUAAAAUAGAGCUGCCGG